rnacentral:lncRNA from 1 species
GCACUGACUGCGUCAAUCAUCCUUCAAGCCCCACUUCAGGAAAUUCUUUUGACAACUCUAUGAAACAGAUAGUAGUAGAACAAAGUACUAUGAUAAAGAGAAAACUCGGGCUCAGAGAAGCGAAGUCAGUGGCCCAGAAUUGCCCAGCUGUAGGAAACAUAGUCUGAAUAUGAUUGCAGAGUCUAUCUGACUGCAAAGCUAGUGCUUUUCCCACUGUAUCACACCACACUCAGAUAUUAUACAUGAUAGGAAGUGAUAAAUGCUCUGUAAGGGACAUGAGUACAGGGCCCAUAGAAUUUAUGGAGUUGAUAGAAUUAUGGGUAGUAAUAAAGGUAGUGGUGGUUGUAGAAUUCUGCGGUCAAGCUGCUUCUAGAAAUCUUAAUUUGGGGUUGGAGAUGUUCAUGGCAUUUGAAUAGGGUGUCUAUUCCAUGCGCUUUCAUAGAUACAGGCCCUGCUUUGAGGUUUGUCACAAAGGAAUUCCCUACCUGGAGCUUUUGAGCUCUGUACUCCCCUACUUCCGCUCACCUCCCCAAGGUAGUGGCACUGAAAGCAGGUUCCCCAGGGCUAGGGAAGCAAUGGAAUCUGUGAGGACUUCCUGGGGCUUUGCCUAAACUCUUCCCUGGGCCUCCUUCAUUACCCUCACUGUCUGCACAGGCUUCCUGUGGCUGUGGCAAUGCGGGGAGGGAACAUGACAGCUAGGAUCAAGAGGCAUUACCAAGUGGGGGCUGCCAGCUCAGAGCUUCAGCUGCAUGUGACAGGCCUGCCUGCUAAUUCAGGCUGACAUACUCCAUGAUGUAGCACUUAAUGGGGAGGCUCUGGGUAGGUAUCUGGGGAGGGAGCGCUAAUGCUCUGCGCAGAUAAGCCAGGCGACAAACAUCACUCGUGAUGUUCCAACACCCUCCCCACGCCCAGGUCAAGGCUGUUCACUGUCCAGGGACACCGCGUCAAAGGAGGAAGAAGGAGGUGCCUGAGCUGUUCUCCACAGGACCCGACAAACUGCAGGAUCAAGCCAGGAUCUUCAACUGGUGGUUCACACCCUCUUUUUUGCACUAUCUCGGCAGUGGCUGUGGGGCGAGACCCCCUGAGACAAGGCUGGUGCUCCAGUAGGCUUGCGAAUGAGAACGGGGCCAGCCUUGGCCCUUGGAGGACUGUGCUGCUGGAAUCCUUGCCCCUCCCUAGGCACCCCAUACUCCUCCCCAACCCUGAUUCAGUUUCAGCUCAUAGCCCUGAGCAUGAUUGCAAAGCAUAAGCAACGCAGCCUGGUUGUCAAGACAACCGGUACUGUGUUAGAGUAUCCACCAAAUAAAGUUUCAUAGACCAAGAGAGCAGCCUCAGAGUCUAUCCUUCCACGAGGCUUAUAGACAUCUAUGUCAGCUGGAUAUUAGUGGGAUGUGGGGAACCCCAGGGUGCCCUGGGGCUCCUUCCGCACAUGAUUCAGGGCUCUGUUCAAUGAUCACCCCUUGAGAGAGGUCUUCUGUGCCCCUACCCCUACCCCACAGCACAUGGCACAUCCUCCACUCACCAUCCUCUGACCCAGCUUACUGCUUAUAAAGUUAAGCAACUCUUAAGCAGUUCAUCAGCGAAUCCUCAUCAGUAGCCUAUGAUUUAGCUCAGUGAAUAUGGUCUUUGCUGCACAGAUGAGGAAAUGACCAGAGAGGUUAAGUAAUUUGUAUCAAGUCACACAGCUCAUGCUCAGGCC